GCCCCAGCCCAGGAGACCCAGAUGUUCCAUUCUGUGAUCAGGACAGAACACAGACCUCUCACUAUGGAGUUUGUGCUUGGCUGGGUUUUCCUUGUUGCUGUUCUAAAAGGUGUCCAGUGUGAGGUGCAGCUGGUGGAGUCUGGGGGAGGCCUGGCGAAGCCUGGGGGCUCCCUGCGACUCUCCUGUGCAGCCUCCGGAUUUACCUUCAGUAGCUAUGGCAUGAGCUGGGUCCGCCAGGCUCCAGAGAAGGGGCUGGAGUGGGUCUCAGGUAUUUAUUAUGAUGGAAGUUACCCAAGCUAUGCGGAGUCCGUGAAGGGCCGAUUCACCAUCUCCAGAGACAACGCCAAGAACACGCUCUAUCUGCAGAUGAACAGCCUGAGAGUCGAGGACACGGCCAUUUAUUUCUGUGCAAAAGGCCCCCUUUGGGGGAUAUAUGGUAUGGAUGUCUGGGGCCGUGGAACCACGCUCACUGUCUCCUCAGCAACCCCGUCCCGUCCAGACCUCUUCCCCCUCAUCACCUGUGAGAGCUCUCUGUCCAAUGAGCCCCUGGUGGCCAUGGGCUGCCUGGCCCGGGACUUCCUGCCCAACUCUGUCACCUUCUCCUGGAACUUCAAGAACAGCAGUGUGGUCAACAGCCAGGACAUCAAGACCUUCCCCACAGUCCUGAGAGAGGGCAAGUACCUGGCUACUUCUCAGGUGCUCCUGCCCUCCGUGGACGUCCUCGAGGGCUCCGAUGACUUCCUCACGUGCAAUGUCAAGCACCCUAAUGGCAACGGUGAGGUGGCCGUGCGCUUCCCAGUGUCUAUGGAUAUACCCCCCAACGUGACGGUCUUCAUCCCGCCCCGUGAUGCCUUCUCUGACAACAACCAGCGCACGUCCCAGCUCCUCUGCCAGGCGACAGGCUUCAGCCCCAGGAAUAUCACUGUGUCCUGGCUUCGUGACGGAAAGCCCAUCAAGUCUGGCUUCAACACAGGCAAGGCGGAGGCCGAGAACGACAGCCUGAGGCCCGUGACCUACAGGAUCCUCAGCACACUGACCAUCACCGAGAAUGACUGGCUCAGCCAAAGCAUAUUCACCUGCAAGGUGGUGCACAAAGGGCUGACCUUCAAGAAGAACGUGUCCUCCACAUGCAUCCUCAACCCACAAGCCAGCAUCCGCAUCUUCACCAUUCCCCCCAACUUCGCCAGCAUCUUCCAAACCAAGUCAGCCAAGCUGACCUGCAGGGUUGUAGACCUGACCACCCGCGAAAGCCUGAACAUCUCCUGGACCCGCCAGAAUGGCGAGUUUCUGCCAACAGCCACCUCCUUCCAGAGCAAUGUCAACAACACUUUCAGUGCCACGGGGGAGGCCACCGUCUGUGCGGAGGACUGGGAGUCAGGGGAGGACUUCACGUGCACGGUGACUCACACAGAUCUGCCCUCGCCACUGAGGAAGACCAUCUCCAAGCCCAAGGGUGUCAGUAGGCAGCCGCCGUCCGUCUACGUCCUGCCACCCAGCCGGGAGCAGCUGAGCCUGCGGGAGUCAGCCACUGUCACCUGCCUGGUGAAGGGCUUCUCCCCUCCAGACGUGUUCGUGCAGUGGCUGCAGAAGGGGCAGCCCAUGCCCUCUGACAGCUACGUGACCAGCGACCCGAAGCCCGAGCCCCAGAACCCUGACCUGUACUUCGUGCACAGCACUCUGACCGUGAGUGAGGAAGAGUGGAGCUCGGGCGAGGCCUACACCUGCAUCGUGGGCCAUGAGGCCCUACCCCACAUGGUGACGGAGAGGAGCGUGGACAAGGCCACUGAAGGGGAGGUGAGUGCCGAGGAGGAGGGCUUCGAGAACCUGAACACCAUGGCCUCCACCUUCAUUGUCCUCUUCCUCCUCAGUGUCUUCUACAGCACCACCGUCACCCUCUUCAAGGUGAAAUGACGCCCUGGCUAAGAACUUCGGAGACCCAGAAGAUGGGACCUGGGAGGCACUUUGGGGCCCGUCGAUUUGUACUUAAAUCCUUCCCACGUCACCCCUCCUACUUGCAGCCCAAAGACAGGCUUCUCGAGACCAGGCCGAGUGCCGUGGACACAGCCCCGCUCUGUCAUCUUGAAAUAAACGUGUAUAUUUUAUCUUGUGAAA